rnacentral:lncRNA from 1 species
UGGGAGGCUGGUGGGAGGCAGGGGGCAGGCCUGCGGAUGCAUGAAAUAAUGUUGGCAUUAUUUUUUAAUUUUUUAAAAAAUAAAUGGUAUCUUAUUUAAUUGUCCUGUUCCUUCCCACUCCCCGCCUCCUAGGAUGUUAGCCCAAGCUCAGGGUAGGCCCAGGGGGCUGGGAGAAAUGAAGCCACCCAUGGGGACUGGGGACCAGGGGCCUUCAGCAUGGCUUCUAGGUUCCCUCCUCCCCCUACCCCAUCUCCUACCUCCACAGUACAGACUGUCCCCAACUUAACAGUGGUUCAACUUAAACCAUGUUUCAACUUUACAAUUGGUCUGUUGGGGUAUUAAAUGAAUUUGUGACUUAGGAUAUUUUCAUUUAUGAUGGGUUUAUCAGGAAGUAACCCCAUGGUAAGUUGAGGCAUAUCUGUAUAUAUUUAAACCUAAUUAAUUCUUGAGCUGAAAAUAAAUAAACCAGGAUGGCAGGGACCAACCCCUAAUCCCUCCCCAGCGGCAAGCCCCUCUUUUCAGAGUGGGCAGAGGGUUGCCUAUGGUGGGCACUAGGAAUGAGGUCCCCUGCCUCGAUGCGGGUCCUAGGAGAAAAAGUCCUACUUUUCUGGGUCCCCAGGUGCAGCACCUCCCGGAGACUGUUUCUCCCAUGGCCUCCUGAGUGAUGGGCCCUGCCUCCCUGUGCCUCAUCCUCAGGCUGGUUGGAGCAGAGGGUGGGCAGGAGCCCCAGCACAGACUGGGGGGUGCUCACAGCAGGGCCACCUUGAUGCAGGCUGGAAUGUUAUCCCUGGGGUGUGCUUGGACCCCACCUGCUUUCUUUCUCUCCUGCCCCUCCCCUACUCUCACUGUAAUUUAUGGACCCUGCCCGCCUGCGUGUUGUGUGUAUGUCCUGUGCCUUUUCUCACUAUUGUUUGGGUGUGGGAGGGGGUGGUUUUUCACUGAAAAGGGGGGUACACCUAUAGCUUUCUUGAUGUUCAAUCAAUCAGUCACUGUGUCCCAGACAUAUUCAAUAAACACAGAUUGGUACCACCC